rnacentral:tRNA from 1 species
GGUGGCUCAGUGGUAGAGUGCUUGUUUCACAUACAUGAAGCCCUGGGUUCAAUUCCUCAGCACCA